GGAUUCAGAGAUGAUUUCCUUCAGUUCGGCUGGACAAGUGACAGGUGCUGCAUGGCUGUCGUCAGCUCGUGUCGUGAGAUGUUGGGUUAAGUCCCGCAACGAGCGCAACCCUCAUCUUUAGUUGCCAUCAUUCAGUUGGGCACUCUAAAGAAACUGCCGGUGAUAAGCCGGAGGAAGGUGGGGAUGACGUCAAGUCCUCAUGGCCCUUACACGCUGGGCUACACACGUGCUACAAUGGCGGUGACAGUGGGCAGCAACCUCGCGAGGGGUAGCUAAUCUCCAAAAGCCGUCUCAGUUCGGAUUGUUCUCUGCAACUCGAGAGCAUGAAGGCGGAAUCGCUAGUAAUCGCGGAUCAGCAUGCCGCGGUGAAUACGUUCCCAGGCCUUGUACACACCGCCCGUCACACCAUGGGAGUUGGAUUCACCCGAAGGCGUUGCGCUAACCUAGCAAUAGGAGGCAGGCGACCACGGUGGGUUUAGCGACUGGGGUGAAGUCGUCGUAAC
rnacentral:rRNA from 1 species